rnacentral:rRNA from 1 species
UACACACUGCCCGUCAAGCCAUGGAAGUCGGGAGGACCUGAAGAUAGCCACCGCAAGGAGCUAUUCAAGGUUAUAUCGAUGACUGGGGCU